CAUGCCCCUAGAGGCGCUGCCGACAUGGUACUGUGUUACAUUUAUCAAUAGGAGGCAGAGAGCAGAGAGGCCAUGUCUGUGCUCAGUGUUCUGACCUAUGAAAAUCUUAAUGAUCAGUAGCCUGAAAUU